ensembl:lncRNA
CAAAUAUAAAAAAUUUAAGCAUAGUUAAAGGUAUAGUUUGAAAAUUAAAAUUCUGCCAUCAUUUUGUUUCUAACUGUAGCCUAUGAGUUUUUUUCAUCUGUUGUAAUUUACAUCAGAUAUUUUUAAGAAUGUUGGCAACAAUUCACUAUCUAUUGAUUUCCAUAGUAUGGAAAAAAAUAUAACUUGAACAACUUGAGGGCGAGUAAAUGAUAGAGCUUUCAUUUUUGGGUGAACUAUCACUUUAAAUACUCGAAAGAUAUGAGUUUUCGGUUGUUUUUUGAGUACUGUCCAGGAUUCAGCUGUUCGGAUGAACAGAUUUUGCAGAAAGGAGAGACGCUUUAGGCUAUAGCCGAAAUCAGAACACAGCUAUAGUCUUUAUCUUAUGUGUAUGCUUUGUGAUUUCAUCAGAUAUCAGUUAGCCUAUAAAUCAGGAUUUUUGUGCAGAAUAACAUCUUGGAAGGGACAGCUGGAUAUGUAGUCUUAAUGGGCAGUGUCACUACUUCACUAUUUUAUAUUCAUCCCGUUUUCUGACAACAGCAAUGUCAAAGGUUGCUUGUAGUCGUACCCCAUGGACUAUUUUAAUAACUGGAGAUAUCUGAAUAAACAACGGUGAAACUGGACUGGCGGAAGGAUGAUCACUGAAGCGAUGUAAGCAGAUCAGCAUGCUUCUUCCGAACUUUAUAAAAUUGUAACGAUAUACGAAAUCACAAAUAAGGUCGUCCACAUUGCUUUUUGUUUGCCUCCCCUUUCGCCCUCUGCUGGAGAACACGGAUACUGCACACCUGCACAUUUUUAUUUUAUCAAAUACUCUCCUUAAACAUGAUGAGCAACAGUAAUUAACAUUUUAUUCUCAUUUACAUUUAGAGAAAGCGUUAGCUCAGUUACUCUGAACCAAAGUGUGUUGAGUUCAUUAUAAAUAUUGCCAUCAAAAUUAACACAAGACACUCUACCUUUUUAAAAUACCCUUUCAAGAAGUCUUAAAGAUCAAAUCGUAUAUUCAUCAUAAGAUAAUAUGAUAAAGCAGAGGAGCCAGGCUGUAACAGAAAUCAUGCAGUUGCUGUAAUAUCACUGAGACUCUGCGAAAAACACCCAAAACCAUAGCUAUAUAAUCGUGUAAAAGCUCUGGAUAAAAAGCAUCUGUCAAAUGUGCUGUAGUCCAGUGGUUAAAGAUCUGAGCUGGAAACUGGAUGACUGUUCAAUGCCACCAAGAGCUGAUCCUUGAGCUAACACUGCUGUGCCAUUCAGAACUUAAUGGCAGAAUGAAGUAUUAUGUAACCUUCAUCUUUUGGCUAACAUCUUUUUCAUCUUUGGUCCUUUAAUCCUCAGGUCUGGAAAGAAGAUAUAGAAGCCUAUGAAUAUUGUUUAUAUUGCAAUAACACACAAUUCCCUGUUUUAGAUGGUCAGUUGAGUUUAAAGAUCAUUUUCUAAUGACAAUCAUCAUUAAUCAGGAAAUUUUUAUUCACAAACCCUAAUUUCUUCAAGCUCCUCAAAAUAGGUCAGUCUGGCUGGGCCGUGUUGUUCUGAUGGCAGUACACAUCAGACUGAACUGUAAACUGUUGGCAGUGUAGCAGAGUCAGGCACAAUCACACUAGGUCGGUUUCUGUCAUAAAACCAAACGUCGUCUUGCUGGCUAGCCACUCUUUGCUAAAGGACCGAGACAGAGAUUAGAACCAAUAUGGCACAUUUGUUUCACAUGAUCCAUGUGAACACAUGUCAUCCUUUCAGCCUGCUGAGCUGGAAAUGUUUUUAACCUUUGGAUAAAUCGUUUCUGAUGAUCUGCAGCAGUCACAACAUCUAUAGUUGGCGGUCGAAGCGACAAUUGCAGAGAGGAUGCAGGUCAGAAUAUCACAGGCCACAAGGGCCAUUGCAGCCCAGAGAGGCUGAAGAAAUUGUCAGAAUAUGCACAUGGUUAAUAUAAACAGUUUAGUUUUGAACGGCAUAAUUAGGUGAAACCAACUGCAAGUUGACCAUACUGAUGUUAUGCAACAUGAAUACAAUUUUUAAAGCAUGAAAUGUGACUAAGAUGACUUACCAGACACAUGACUGAUAUAUGUUCAGCUAAGACUGCUCCAGUUAAAACUGACUAAAGGGAAUGAAAAUAAUGUUUUUCAGUAUUUCAGAAUCACCACACAGUGUUUUCCUGAUGAGAAAAGGAAGAAAUACUUACAAAGCACAAGACAAGAUAAAACAAGCCACCCCACAAUGGUAAAAAGAUCCCCAGUAAACUUAUUGAUAUUUCCAGACCCUGUCAGAGAAAAGGAUAAGUUGUCUUUGUUUAUAUAUUCACCCAGAUAAUAUCAAUAUUUAAAACUUAGAGAAGUCCUCAAGGUGGAACAAUUUUGUAUUUCUCCCAAACACUUUGCCCAAACCUCCAGAAAUUCAGACUUCCCUUUUAGGUGACAUCCAGCCAUCUUUAAACACUGUGGUAGACAUGUGAAAAUACAAUCUGUUAAUACAAUGCAUUUUUUACAUUCUUUAGGUUAGAAGUAGCUCUUUGCAGUUGCUCUUGAUAAAAUGUAAUGAAAUACCAAACGUUUAAAUGAGCUGGCAGAGACCAUUUUGAUAAUGUUUCAUGUAUUAAAAAAAUAAAUAAGAGAAGACCACCAGAGCAUCACAGACCAUCAGUAAAAUGUGAGUCACACCAUAUUAGAGGCAGGAGGAUUAUGAACUAAACACAAGUAGUGUCUGGACCAAUAAGACACCAUUUUUCAUCUGAAUUAACAAAUAAUCACAGACCCCACAUUUUCCAGGAAAGACACAUAAUGCUCAGCAAAAUGGACUCUUCUCUAAUUAAUUAAUAGGAAAACCUUUCUUUGAAUGAACACACAUAUACUUUAGGGCAUUGUGUAUGUUGUUACUCUUCGUGGAUAUUGUCUUUUGUAUUGUAUACUUUUUUAUGCAUGCUUAUUAUAGAACCACUCGUUCAUGUAAUGUUUCCUAUAUGUAAUCCUACCAUGUUUAGUAUCUAUGAAUUUGCCUUCUGAUGAUCUAAACGAGAGUGUAUAUUAUAUGUUCGUACUUAGGCAAUAUAUUAGUGUUCUAAGUAAUUUUGCAUUAACACUCGGUAGAGUUCCAUAUGCAAAUUACCAUGCUUUUAGACAAAGGACCAUAAAACUCUCCAUUAUUUACAACCUCACGCUUGGAAUUUCAGCCUUUCUCACUGGACAAGCCCAUCCUGAGAGGUGUGAAUUGUCUCAGACCUUAAAAGGCUCACGCACAGUUCCACCCAGGCCUUCUUCUUCUGCUAAGUCUUCUGCUAAAAUCCGAUUGCUGUCCGUGUGGAGAGCUGGAACAGGUGCGUGCCCAGGGGGACCCAACACAUAGCUCAGCAGUCUGUGGUUCUUUUAGAUUCUGAGAAGAUGAGGAUGUGAGCUAGAACGCUUCUAAGGACACCCUAAGUUUGUGCCAGGCCUCAUGCCUUGACUUUCCAUUCAACAAAGAUCCAAGGAUCGCAGCUGACGUCUCUCUUAGCUCUUUUUCACUUCCCACUGGGAAGAAACUCCCAAUCACCAUUGAGUCAGAACAUCUUUGGAAUUCAUCACUUUUCAAACCCAGAAGAAGGAUAUCACGACUCCUACACCACCGAACCUCCAAAUCUUCAAGGCUUUCAUCCGAGACUGCAUCCCGACGCUUGUUCCAGGCUAAGGCAAUUCAUCAUUUACUCCUGACAUCUGAGCCUCUGAAGACGCAGUGGAUCUUCGUGCGACUCAUUCAUGAUCCAGCUUCACCAACAGAAGAAGUGCCAAAGUGGAGGGAUGGAAAGGCCACUCAUGUCAGCCUGCCAGA